rnacentral:rRNA from 1 species
CAAGUCGAACGGGACCGGGGGCAACUCCGGUUCAGUGGCAGAUGGGUGCGUAACACGUGAGGAACUUGUCCGUCGGCGGGGGAUAGCCGGCCCAACGGCCGGGUAAUACCGCAUCCGCUCGCUCGGGGGCAUCCCUGAGCGAGGAAAGCAGCCGCAAGGUUGCGCCGGCGGAGAGUCUCGCGGCCUAUCAGCUUGUUGGCGGGGUAAUGGCCCACCAAGGCGACGACGGGUAGCUGGUCUGAGAGGAUGGCCAGCCACAUUGGGACUGAGACACGGCCCAGACUCCUACGGGAGGCAGCAGUGGGGAAUAUUGCGCAAUGGUCGCAAGACUGACGCAGCGACGCCGCGUGUGGGAUGACGGCCUUCGGGUUGUAAACCACUGUCGGGGGGGACGAAUACAGGGCUUCGAAUAGGAGACCCUGGGUGACGGUACCUCCAAAGGAAGCACCGGCUAACUCCGUGCCAGCAGCCGCGGUAAUACGGAGGGUGCGAGCGUUGUCCGGAAUCACUGGGCGUAAAGGGCGCGUAGGUGGCUCGUUAAGUUGCCGGUGAAAUCCCGGGGCUCAACUCCGGGGCUGCCGGUAAGACUGGCGGGCUCGAGCACGGUAGAGGCAGAUGGAAUUCCCGGUGUAGCGGUGGAAUGCGUAGAGAUCGGGAAGAACACCAGUGGCGAAGGCGUUCUGCUGGGCCGUUGCUGACACUGAGGCGCGACAGCGUGGGGAGCAAACAGGAUUAGAUACCCUGGUAGUCCACGCCGUAAACGAUGGACACUAGGCGUCGGGGGGAGCGACCCCCUCGGUGCCGUCGCUAACGCAGUAAGUGUCCCGCCUGGGGAGUACGGCCGCAAGGCUGAAACUCAAAGGAAUUGACGGGGGCCCGCACAAGCGGUGGA